rfam:Schistosoma margrebowiei strain Zambia genome assembly, scaffold: SMRZ_scaffold0005300
GUAAAGGCCGUUUUCAGGGCCACCCACAAUUUAAUUUCCAUUAUUU